UGAACCGUGCACUUCAAAAUGGUUAAGAUGGCUGGGGUGUAGUGGUGCGAUCUUGGCUCACUGCAACCUCCACCUCCCGGGUUCAAGUGAUUCUCCUGCCUCAGCCUCCCAAGGAGCUGAGAUUACAGGCAUGCGCCACCACACCUGGCUAAUUUUGUAUUUUUAGUAGGGAUGGGGUUUCACCAUGUUAGCCAGACUGGUCUCGAACUCCUGACCUCAGAUGAUCCACCCACCUUGACCUCACUUACAGGCGUGAGCCACCGCGCCUUGUCUCUGUUAUAUUUAUUUCUCUAUUUAAAUUGAUGGAUAUAUGCAAACCUGAUCAUUAUCAUACUUAUGCCUAGACACAAGAGAGGCAAUAAACUAAUCUAAGUG
rnacentral:lncRNA from 10 species